UGACAAUAUAUUUCAAUGUUUCUAGAAAAUCAGCCUGUGUGAAAAUGUUUUUCAAGCUUACACAAUUUGAAUCUAAAAAGCAUAUUUUUUUCUCCCUGAAAAUAAACACAGAAAUUGUUGAAAUGUUUCUGUAAAAAGACAGAAGCAUAAAAUGACCAUUAUAUUUCUACACAUUAGGUACAUGUUCCUUCACUAGCUUGCCCAGGAACAAAAGCAAAUAUCAAUGGUUUGCUCUUAUCAAUUCAUAAUUCUUUUAUUUCCGUCACAGUGUGUUCCCAUUGAUUACACACAGGAGUAAAAAUAGAAAACUCUGAGAUGGUGCCUUUGCCAGUUGUGCAGAUGACUUUCUGAACAAGGAAGUUUUAUAUGGGUGGAUGGGCAUAGGAACUUGGCUUGAAAUGUUAAAAAGGCAGGAAAAACAGCAGAAUCUGUUUUUCAUUGCAGAAGAGCCCAGGUUGUCCUGGUCAUCUGAAAUUAAGCCCAAAUCCUAAAAAGUCUGAACACCUGCUGUCAGCCUCCUGCAAACAGGCCAGGGAAUGUUGCAAGAGAGCUGGCAGAGGCGGGGAACAGGGCAGACACCAGCAAACACCACUUCACUGUGCAGCUAUUUUCAUGUCCUCCCAGCACACUGAAGUGCUGAUAAUGGCUUGGGUCAAUUCAGCAAACACAUUCUGGACACCUCCUUUGCAGCAGACACAGUGUUCACCGAAGGCACACAGGGCGGCUGCAGAAGUCACGCCUGCUGCAGAAGCCAAAGUGUGUCAUUCCAUAGACAGAGUUAUACACAGCACAAGAUGGCUGUGCCUGGAGACAAUGAAUUUCCACAUGCAGAGGCUAGAGUGCAGUGGUGCAAUCUCAGCUCAAUGCAACCUCCGCCUCUCAGGAUCAAGCAAUUCUCCUGCCUCAGCCUCCUGAGUAGCUGGGAUUACAGGUUU